CCUUUUUGGGUUUUCCCCUGAGCGUGCUUGGUCCCCAGCCCAGGGUGGCCGCCGUUUCAAGCAAGUCCCUUGUUCAGGUACAGGCGUGCAGAUGCCCCGAGCCAGCCUGAGGAGGGGCCGCAUGUCCCGAGGGCCCCAUGGUUCCCCUCAGGAGGCAGAUUGGAAAGGGCUGACUUGUCUCUUACUCCAAUGAGUAGAGAGGCGGAGAAAAAAAAAAAAAUAGCCGGGUGUGGUGGUGCCCACCUGUAGUACCAGCUACUUGGGAGGCUGAGGCAGGAGAAUCUCUUGAACCCGGGAGGCGGAGGUUGCAGUGAGCUGAGAUCACGCCACUGCAUUCCAGCCUGGGCGACAGAGUGAAACUCCGUCUC
rnacentral:lncRNA from 1 species